GUAGGUUGACUGUCGGGACAAGCCCAGGGAUGGCAUUGUUUCUAUUUGCUGAUAAAUGACUCUGGGGCUGUGAAGACUCAGACCCAAGGAGUGACUCAGAAAGUCAGGGGCCCAUGUCAUUCUGCUCUGGGUUCAGACGUGCACUGCAGCAGCACCGGGACUUGACAGCCCUACGGCUCGAUCAGCUUUCUGUUUUCAUUGCCUUACGAUGCCAUGAGUGGAACUAUUGUCAAAUCAGAGUUCACUCCCCAGCUUUUCAGUCUUUCCCCUAAUUCUUGCUCUAUCAGAGGUCGAGGACAACAGUAUAAUGAUUCAUAGGUUCUACUUCCUGGCAAGUAAUCAUUUUCCCACGGGCCCUUGUGAAUUGAUGAAUAUGAAGACACUAAGAAAGCAGAAAUAGAACUGAGAAGAAUGAAAUAACUGUCUCUACCUUUCUCGAAUUGUCUAAUAUGGAAAGAAUGAAAGACAGCUAAUAAGCAACUCUCUGCAAGAAGACAUAUGGCUUAGGUUCUGCUGAGCUAUUGGUGAUUUGAUUCCAUGCAUAUGUAUUCACUACUGAGAUGGGAUCUUGCUAUGUGGCCCAGGCUGGCCUCAAACUCCUGGCCUCAAGAUAUUUCCCCCUGCCUUGGCCUCUCAAAGUGAAUCUACUUGGAGAGAGUCAAACACAGAAUCCCUUUGAAUUUAAUGGCCAUUCCAGGUGAUUUGAACAGCCAAAUAAGAAACAGGUCCUCUUCAAUGUACAAUCUGCCAAGUAUGAAGUCUGAAUGACCAUCAUUAUUAUGUAUUUAAUGUGCAUAGAAAAUCUAUCUGCAACCUUCCAGAGUGUACCAGAAGUUUGGAAUGUACAUUAUUAUUGGCUCCAUCUCAAACCACUCAUAAAUCAAAGAAAAUAGCAGUUCCAGAGGAAUCAUCAUAGAGGCUUCUAGGCCCCCAUGCUGUGUGAACCUGGUGAGAAAGGGAAGUCUGCUCUCACUGGACACUGGAACUGUUUGUCUCUGUCUCUGCUGUACUUUCCCUGCCUCUACCUCACUUAGUAAAGAAAUCAUCUUUGCUUGAUAACUAAAACAACCAAUAAGGCUGAGAAAGGGGAAAACCCACAUCUGGAUUUAAAUACAAGGUAUUGGGCCAGCUGCUGGGGAUUAAACUUUGAACAAAACAGAUAGAAUCUAUGUCCUCAUGGGAGUGGCUAAUGGGAGAGUCGGAACAAAAAAAUAGCCAAGGAUAAUCCAGCAAAUGAUUUGGUGAAUGCUAUCAAAGAGAGAAAUACACAUGCUCUGGGAACACCAAGAAUAAACGAGAGAAAGGGACAUUAAUAUAUAUUGAAUAUCUGCUGUGUCAGGCACCUUACAUAUAUUGAUUGCUUCUUCACUUCUUUUAAUCUUUACUACACCACAUGAGGCUGUCAUAGAGAUUCUGAGG
rnacentral:lncRNA from 1 species